rnacentral:rRNA from 1 species
UACGAAGGGGGCGAGCGUUGUUCGGAUUUACUGGGCGUAAAGGGCGCGUAGGCGGCCUUGUCAGUCAGGCAUGAAAGCCCCGGGCUCAACCUGGGAACGGCGCUUGGGACGGCGAGGCUGGAGUUCGGGAGAGGAGAGUGGAACUGCGAGUGUAGAGGUGAAAUUCGUAGAUAUUCGCAAGAACACCAGUGGCGAAGGCGGCUCACUGGCCCGGUACUGACGCUGAGGUGCGAAAGCGUGGGGAGCAAACAGG